rnacentral:rRNA from 1 species
AAGUCCCGCAACGAGCGCAACCCCUAUUGUUAGUUGCCAUCAUUCAGUUGGGCACUCUAGCGAGACUGCCGGUAAUAACCGAGAAGUGGGGAUGACGUCAAAUCAUCAUGCCCCUUAUGACCUGGGCUACACACGUGCUACAAUGGUUGGUACAACGAGUUGCGAGUCGGUGACGGCGAGCUAAUCUCUUAAAGCCAAUCUCAGUUCGGAUUGUAGGCUGCAACUCGCCUACAUGAAGUCGGAAUCGCUAGUAAUCGCGGAUCAGCACGCCGCGGUGAAUACGUUCCCGGGCCUU